rnacentral:lncRNA from 1 species
AGUCUAUUUUACUGGUUAUGCCAGUAAGACACUAUGAUACCUAUAUGAACAGUGAGACCAAACUGACAGAGUAUCCCGAGGCUGAUACUAUGACUCUACUCAGUUUCAGAUGAAGUCAAAGAUCGUUAGGUGAUGAUCUGUUACACACCCAGCAAGUAACCAAGAAGCUUGAAGUUUAUGUCUUACCUGCUCAGGUUUCUGAAUCUUUUAACCACAGAUGGUUGCUUAAUUCUAUUAAUCAGCAUAGGAAAAUCAGUUCUAAUUCAUUCAUUUAUCCAUUUAUACAAAAUUAUCUAUCUAUCUAUCUAUCUAUCUAUCUAUUUAGUAACC